rnacentral:misc_RNA from 1 species
UCGAGCACCUGGUGCCCGCGGGCGAGAUCGAUCCCGAUCACAUCCACACCCCCGGCAUUUUCGUGCAGCGCAUGAUCGCGGUCGAUCCGAAACUGAAGCGGAUCGAGCAACGCACCCUGCGCAAGCGCGCGUAACUGAUUUCCAGAGGAGAGCCCCAUGGCCUGGACCCGUGAACAGAUGGCAGCGCGCGCCGCGAAGGAACUGCGUGACGGCUAUUACGUCAAUCUCGGCAUCGGAAUUCCGACGCUGGUUUCCAACUAC